rfam:Streptococcus henryi strain A-4 genome assembly, contig: IE83DRAFT_scaffold00050.50
CAUCCUGUGCAACCGCACGAAAAUCGUAUCAAGUAAUCUCUAUGGUUCACGAUUUAGGCGAGUCUUCACAAGAGG